rnacentral:rRNA from 1 species
GACGAACGCUGGCGGCGUGCUUAACACAUGCAAGUCGAACGGAAAGGCCCUGCUUUUGUGGGGUGCUCGAGUGGCGAACGGGUGAGUAACACGUGAGUAACCUGCCCUUGACUUUGGGAUAACUUCAGGAAACUGGGGCUAAUACCGGAUAGGAGCUCCUGCUGCAUGGUGGGGGUUGGAAAGUUUCGGCGGUUGGGGAUGGACUCGCGGCUUAUCAGCUUGUUGGUGGGGUAGUGGCUUACCAAGGCUUUGACGGGUAGCCGGCCUGAGAGGGUGACCGGCCAAAUUGGGACUGAGAUACGGACCAGACUCCUACGGGAGGCAGCAGUGGGGAAUAUUGCACAAUGGGCGGAAGCGUGAUGCAGCAACGCCGCGUGCGGGAUGACGGCCUUCGGGUUGUAAACCGAUUUCGCCUGUGACGAAGAGUGAGUGACGGUAAUGGGUAAAGAAGCACCGGCUAACUACGUG